GUUGUAUUCAGCAUUUCACCGUAAGGUCUACUACACCUGUUGUAUUCAGCAUUUCACUGUCAGGUCUACUACACAAGUUGUAUUCAAGUCUACUACACCUGUUGUAUUCAGCAUUUCACCGUAAGGUCUACUACACCUGUUGUAUUCAGCAUUUCACUGUAAGGUCUACUACACCUGUUGUAUUCAGCAUUUCACUGUAAGGUCUACCUACACCUGUUGUAUUCAGCAUUUCACUGUAAGGUCUACUACACCUGUUGUAUUCAUUAUUUCACUGUAAGGUCUACUACACCUGUUGUAUUCAAGUCUACUACACCUGUUGUAUUCAGCAUUUCACCGUAAGGUCUACUACACCUGUUGUAUUCAGCAUUUCACUGUCAGGUCUACUACACCUGUUGUAUUCAAGUCUACUACACCUGUUGUAUUCAGCAUUUCACCGUAAGGUCUACUACACCUGUUGUAUUCAGCAUUUCACUGUAAGGUCUACUACACCUGUUGUAUUCAGCAUUUCACUGUAAGGUCUACCUACACCUGUUGUAUUCAGCAUUUCACUGUAAGGUCUACUACACCUGUUGUAUUCAGCAUUUCACUGUGAGGUCUACUACACCUGUUGUAUUCAGCAUUUCACUGUGAGGUCUACUACACCUGUUGUAUUCAGC
ensembl:lncRNA